CCUACGGGAGGCAGCAGUGGGGAAUAUUGGACAAUGGGCGAAAGCCUGAUCCAGCAAUGCCGCGUGAGUGAAGAAGGCCUUCGGGUUGUAAAGCUCUUUUACCCGGGAAGAUAAUGACCGUACCGGGAGAAUAAGCCCCGGCUAACUCCGUGCCAGCAGCCGCGGUAAUACGGAGGGGGCUAGCGUUGUUCGGAAUCACUGGGCGUAAAGCGUGCGUAGGCGGCCAUUCAAGUCAGAGGUGAAAGCCCAGGGCUCAACCCUGGAACUGCCUUUGAAACUAGGUGGCUGGAACACGGGAGAGGUGAGUGGAAUUCCGAGUGUAGAGGUGAAAUUCGUAGAUAUUCGGAAGAACACCAGUGGCGAAGGCGGCUCACUGGACCGUUGUUGACGCUGAGGCACGAAAGCGUGGGGAGCAAACAGGAUUAGAUACCCUGGUAGUCCACGCCGUAAACGAUGAUAACUAGCUGUUGGGGUCUCUUUGAGCUCCAGUGGCGCAGCUACGCAUUAAGUUAUCCGUCCGUCGGGGUAGGUACGGCCGGCGAACGGUUAAACGUACAAGAAGUUAGACGGCGUGAGACGUGCCGACGGCGACGACGAGGGAGGUAGG
rnacentral:rRNA from 1 species